GACGAACGCUGGCGGCGUGCCUAACACAUGCAAGUCGAACGGGGUGAUUUCCUUCGGGAGAUCACUUAGUGGCGAACGGGUGAGUAACGCGUGAGGAACCUGCCUUUCAGUGGGGGACAACAGUUGGAAACGACUGCUAAUACCGCAUAAUGUAGCGAGACCGCAUGAUCUUGCUACCAAAGCUUUAUGUGCUGAAAGAUGGCCUCGCGUCUGAUUAGCUAGUUGGUGAGGUAACGGCUCACCAAGGCGACGAUCAGUAGCCGGUCUGAGAGGAUGAACGGCCACAUUGGGACUGAGAUACGGCCCAGACUCCUACGGGAGGCAGCAGUGGGGAAUAUUGGGCAAUGGGGGAAACCCUGACCCAGCAACGCCGCGUGAAGGAAGAAGGUCUUCGGAUUGUAAACUUUGUCAACAGGGAAGAAAAAAAUAGACGGUACCUGUUAAGAAAGCCACGGCUAACUACGUG
rnacentral:rRNA from 1 species